rnacentral:lncRNA from 1 species
AUGACUAGCGCAGGAGUUGCUGGGAUGAUGUUUCAGUGUGUGUUUGAAGGAAGCCUGUCAAUGAGAGACACCGAAAUUGAGCGAAGGCCUUACCAUAAGAACUGUAGUUGUGCUCUUCACAAAUCCAAAGGGGGUGCUUGCUCGAAUGCUUGCCAAAGGAACAUUUCCUUUCCCAAGAAACAGUCAUGGACUGAUGGUUCCUUGUGCAUGCAGGCAGCAGUUUCUUCCAAAUUCUCUUCUCCUCUAGUUGGCGACAUGUCCACAUCCACAGGAAACAGAGGAAGUGUGAAUGGUGUUCAAAAUCCGGCCUUGUCACAUGGACAAUAGAAAGACACCUUUCGAAGGCUAGCUAUGAUUAUACGAUGAUUACGGGUGAGUUAGAAGAAACUAAUUAGGAAAUGAGAAGCAAUUUUAAUUGUUAAGUUUCUCAUGAUUGUAUGCUUGUCCUUUAAUUAGUACUACUACUCCAGCAUUAGUACUCAAGAUCAAAUUGAUUUUGACGAAAGUGGGUUAGUUUAUGAAUUUCUUCUUCCUUCUUCCUCCAUGUAAAUUCUACAGGGUACAUAUUCCUCCUGUAAUUAAACAUUGUCACCUUUCUUCAAUACAAAUGAAACUGCUACGUUACAUACACCAGACUUAUUCAAGCAUUAAUUUCAUUGCACAAAAUUUCUAAGAUGAAGACCAUUGUUAAUUAGUCUUAUGGACAAAAUGCAGGCAUUAG